rnacentral:lncRNA from 1 species
CCCAACGAACCGCCUACCACAAAUCAAGUCACACCCACCUCAGCAUUAGGAGUGCACAUCCGCCUGUCGAAUGUCGGAUGAUGAUAGGGCAACAAGUAGGUCUAGAGAAAUGAAAGCUAGUAGGUCUACUGCACCCAUGCAUGGAUGGAAAGAAUCAAUGGACCUUUGGAUAUAGGAUCCGGCCUUCUCAAGGGUCCUCGCGCAUUUACUAAAGAGCCAAGGGGUCUAGUAUGUAAGAAGCAAUGCCAGUCUCAAGUCAAGCACACUGCUGCCGCUUCCUGGCAUCUGGAAUGCCGGAAGGGUCGGAGGAACUUGCACCCACAGAACGUACACGUCGUGUCACUGACAGCCCACUCGAGUCUUGUAAACAGUAGAAAUCGUGCCCGCUCCUGCAGCGAGCCAAGAUACGGUAACCUCGAUACUUCUUUGUGUCUCACCGCGGUACGCGCACAGACAUUAAUCUGCGGGCUCCCUCUCCGCACUCCUUCUGUCACUCCCGUGCGUCAGGUCUUCUCCGACGUCGCCUCCACUCCAUCUCCUACGUCCCAUGACUCACCUGUAGCCCCAGGCAGCCCUGCGUCCAUUGGCACAGCGCCCCUCGCCACCUGCCACCCUCUCGCUCAGCAAAUAAACGCACGCGCGAUAGCAAAACACCAGCAGUCCGUAGUAUGGCCAAGGGGGGCUGCCGGUUCCCCGGUCCCAUACAGUCACACAUACAUCUUAUUAAGAAAAAUCAGCAAGGUUUAUUUGGCGAGUCUCAGUAGAGAAAUAGACAUCCAUACAUCACCCAAUGCGCAUGGCAAUAUCGCACAGAGUGCUUGCUUGCGCAAGCAAUCCAGCAUCAAGUACGGCCUUUGACACUCCCGCUCGCUCACAUACGGUGUAAUAUCAGUACAGCACGGCAACACUCGCGCGAAUCAGUCCUGUGUCCUGCGGUAAACGCCGACUACCGUAGCACGCCCUGCUGUCGUGCUGACAAUGAGAAAUGUGCGGCGGCACAGCCCUGCUGGUUCACUUGAUAGUGAAUGGGCCCGAUCAGUAGCUAGUAGCGGCGAUUUGCCUAGCUGUCUAUACUUGCACGCAUACGCUGCGGGUGUGCCUCACAUACCAUAAUACCCAGUGCUGCUUCUUUCGCAUUUAACACACGCUCAGCAUGCCCUGCUGGCUCACUUCGAUACUGUGCCAUCCACACACGUACGUGUGACGAGCCCCUCUUGCGAACGGCCGUCGGCACCACAGCUGCGGCGGCUGCGGCUGCGGCUGCUGCUGCUCCUGCUGCUGCUACUGCUACUGCUGCAUCUUCAAGUGGCGAAGGCAGCAAGCCGCUGGCUGCUGGGCUCAUGCAGCUGACGGCGUAACACGGAAGCCAAACGGAACGGAGCGGCCCUUGCCGCUACCAGGCCGCCACCGCUGCCGGUGGCGGGAAGCAGCCGCACGCGCGCUCCAACGCGGCAAACUCCUCCAGCUCCCGCUCCUGCUCGGCCCACGCCGCCGCCGCCAGCUCGAUCGCCAGGCGCAGGCGCGAGGGCAUCACAGCUGACUGCCACUCAUCACCCUGCUGCACUGCCGCGAUUGGCGGAACGACACAGCUGCCCAUGCUGCUGCCGGCGGCGGUGCAGGCCUCCUUGUCAAUGCUCUGCCGCUCCGCUGCCACCUCCACCGCCUCCACCUGCUGCGGCGUCUCACUGCCUGCCGCCGCCGCCACCCAGACCAGACUGCAGCUGCUGGCGCUGCGGCUGGUGCGGGCGCUGUCCGGCACGGCGCAGCAGCACGAGCUGAGCGGCGAGUCAGGCGCGUCCGGCCGCUCAGUGACAACGGCCACCUCCUGCUCCGCUUCGGCCGCCGCCGGCACGCACUCGCCCUGGGCCUCUGCUUUCCCCAUCGCCGCCAGCUCCGCCGCCAUCCAGGGCGACAGCGAGGCGAGGUAGGCGCCGAAAUCGUCGGCCUCCUCCUCCUCGACGUCAUCCGCCCAGCGGCGGCCGCUGGGGGUGCCGCCGGUGCCGCUGGCAGAUCCCGCCGCCGCCUGCUCCGCCAGACCCUCCUUCAACCAAUCUGCAAGCGACCCGAGGUCGAGCUCCUCCUCCUCCUCCGCCUCCUCGUGCGCCUCGACUUCAUCCGCCCAGCUACCGCUCGCGCCACCGCUGCUGCUAAUGCUGGCGCGAGGAGCAAUGCUGCUGCUGCUACUGCUGCUGCUGCUGCCGUCAGACUCUGACGCUGCCGCGGGCGCGGCCGGUGCGGCUUCCGCCUGCUGCUGCUCGGCCGCCGCGAGCUCCGCCAGUCCCUGCUUCACCCAGGGCGUCUGCUCAAAGAGGUCGCUCAGGUCGAGUCCGUCAGCCUCAUCCUCAUCAUCAUCGCCCCAUCGCGGCGUGGUCGAGCUGCGGUCGACGGUGGAGGUGGAGAUGGGGCUGGCAGCGGCGGCGGGCUUGGUCGGGGCGGCGGGCUUGGUCGGAGCCGCGAGCUUGGGCACCUUGGGCAGGCCGGGCGGCUUCUGCAGGCGCCAGUGGUUGUCGUAGGCAUGGCAAAGCUGGCAGGGGGCGCUCCUGCAGCCAGCAGAUAGGCUGGCAUAGCACCAGCGGAUGCAGGACUUGUGGGGAAAGCAGCAGGCGCUGGGGCCGGGCUCCUGCUGCUCCUGCUGGUGGGCGGCGGCGGAGGGCUCGCUCUCAUCAGAGCCAUGGCCUUGGCUGCGGGGCGUGUGGCGCCAGGCGUCCUGUGCAAACGAGAUCGGGGGAAAGGAUAGAUGGGGGCGGACAAGCCGUGAGUGCACGGGACGAGGACAAGGGUCGGGGCGCAGAGGGCGGGAGCAAGGGCCGGGGGUCAGGGGCUCGAGCCCCGGCAAAAAAAUCAGGCACACACCGGAAAGGCACGCGCUUUCGGUCAAAGCUGUUGACCGACGCAUUUUACGAGACAAUACAUGCAGCAAUAUGCAGCCAGUGUGGCCGCAGCAGCGCAAGAAGGAAGGCCGAGGAAGCCGAGCGCACUACUGGCCCGAAAUCUGCAACGCUAUAUAGCCCGCAUCCGAAGCCUAAUGCUUUGCAUGUGGCAUCAGAUACCCAUUGCAGCUGCUCAAGGCUCAAAAUGGCCGUGCCCGAACAUGAAUGGUGCUCACCUGCAUCGGUCGGCUCGGCUCGAAGUCAAGCCCCGGUGCACUUGCAAUUGACCGUGAUGUGGCCAUAGUAGCUCUUGACCGCACCAAGCACUCUUCGCGCGCAGAACUCGAUUCUGCUGCUAGCGCAAUUCUUUCGCUUGAUGGAGUUUCCUCGCGGUGCCCGGGAGGGAUUCGCGCUAGAAGCUGCUAGUUCGUGAUAGUGGUGGUGCUUGCCGCAGCGUUCAUGCGCAUGCGGUGGAAAUCGAGAGAGGUCGCGAACAGCCCUAGAAAUGCUCUUCUUUGCCGUCGAUAAGCUCAGGUGCUCGUAGCUAAGCAGUGGGCGUAAAAGCUGUUUGCGAGAUGUCUUUGCAUCUGUUGAUUGUGCAAUAUGAGCACAGCGCGAGAAGCUUUUAUCCGGUGGCGGGGACAGGGUCUCGGGCGCCCAUGCAGGCGACACGCGCCCAAUCCCGAGCCUCCCUCCUCGCCUUUACCUUGUCCCUGGACCCGCGCCAUCCGUGUCCCGCUGUUCACUUCCCGCGUUUCAUACCAGUCCCCCUCCCCUGCGUAGGCCGGUAACCCCUGAUCCCGCCGCUGCCAGGGAUGCAGCUGUGCAGGAUGAGGUUGACGGCUGUGGAAGUUGGUGUGUGAUGGGACAGGGUUCAGGCAGGUUGGCGAGGUCCCAUAGGGUGCAGCUGACGCCCGUACCCCAAGCAGACAGCAAACAGUUUGCAGCGGCAGAGCAGGAGUGCAUGGCUGGUCGAACGCCGGAGUUACUGUACCGACAAGUUGCUGGCUGGCUGGAAGUUGGUGUAGGUUGGCGGUGAUCCAGCGGGGUGGGUGCCGAUGUGCUAUAGCGGGCGCGAGGCUGUACACGUCAGGACCUGGCGAGUGUACUGCUAAAGCUGGCUUUGUGAUGGCCCCCAAGCGUAGGUGAGGUAGGCGCACGGUGGUGACAAGGCAUGCGGCCAGUGGAACUGCCUUACAGUUACAGCCCGCCCAAGCGCGGUUGUUGCCCUGCCAUGAUUUCCGUGGAGUCUGCUAGGCAGUCGGCAGGGACGGUGCCCAUCAGUUCCCGAAGUGGACAAACCAUGCAUCCAGCCGCCCACACGUGCUCUCCGUUCGUCACAUACAGUACUCGAACUCCAAUGUCCACAGAGCGUGUGCGCGAAGUCCACACGCUACACACGCAAGUGGCAGCCGCCCGUCCUUGCACAGCAAGCAUCUCCGCGCACGGUCGCACGCUUCACUAGCCCCAACGAACCGCCUACCACAAAUCAAGUCACACCCACCUCAGCAUUAGGAGUGCACAUCCGCCUGUCGAAUGUCGGAUGAUGAUAGGGCAACAAGUAGGUCUAGAGAAAUGAAAGCUAGUAGGUCUACUGCACCCAUGCAUGGAUGGAAAGAAUCAAUGGACCUGUGGAUAUAGGAUCCGGCCUUCUCAAGGGUCCUCGCGCAUUUACUAAAGAGCCAAGAGGUCUAGUAUGUAAGAAUCAAUGCCAGUCUCAAGUCAAGCACACUGCUGCCGCUUCCUGGCAUCUGGAAUGCCGGAAGGGUCGGAGGAACUUGCACCCACAGAACGUACACGUCGUGUCACUGACAGCCCACUCGAGUCUUGUAAAC